rnacentral:rRNA from 1 species
CCUACGGGUGGCAGCAGUGAGGAAUAUUGGUCAAUGGCCGCAGGGCUGAACCAGCCAAGUCGCGUGCGGGAUGACGGUCCUAUGGAUUGUAAACCUCUUUUGUCAGGGAGUAAAGCGCGCCACGUGUGGCGUUUUGCGUGUACCUGAUGAAAAAGCAUCGGCUAACUCCGUGCCAGCAGCCGCGGUAAUACGGAGGAUGCGAGCGUUAUCCGGAUUUAUUGGGUUUAAAGGGUGCGUAGGCGGAAUGUCAAGUCAGCGGUAAAAUUUCGGGGCUCAACCCCGUCGUGCCGUUGAAACUGGCGUGCUUGAGUGAGCGAGAAGUAUGCGGAAUGCGUGGUGUAGCGGUGAAAUGCAUAGAUAUGACGAAGAACUCCGAUUGCGAAGGCAGCAUGCCGGCGCUGAACUGACGCUGAUGCACGAAAGCGUGGGUAUCGAACAGGAUUAGAUACCCGGGUAGUC